UACGAAGGGGGCUAGCGUUGUUCGGAUUUACUGGGCGUAAAGCGCACGUAGGCGGGUCGUUAAGUCAGGGGUGAAAUCCCGGAGCUCAACUCCGGAACUGCCUUUGAUACUGGCGACCUUGAGGCUGGAAGAGGUUAGUGGAAUUCCCAGUGUAGAGGUGAAAUUCGUAGAUAUUGGGAAGAACACCAGUGGCGAAGGCGGCUAACUGGUCCAGAUCUGACGCCGAGGUGCGAAAGCGUGGGGAGCAAACAGG
rnacentral:rRNA from 1 species